rnacentral:rRNA from 1 species
GGUGAACGCUGGCGGCGUGCUUAAGACAUGCAAGUCGAACGGGCUCUUCGGAGCCAGUGGCGCACGGGUGAGUAACGCGUAACUGACCUACCCCAAAGUCGCGGAUAACGAUUCGAAAGAAUCGCUAAUACGUGAUGUGCUGUCAGAUCCUGUUCUGCCAGUAAAGAUUUAUUGCUUUGGGAUGGGGUUGCGUUCCAUCAGCUAGUUGGUGGGGUAAAGGCCCACUAAGGCGACGACGGAUCGCCGGCCUGAGAGGGUGGCCGGCCACAGGGGCACUGAGACACGGGUCCCACUCCUACGGGAGGCAGCAGUUAGGAAUCUUCCACAAUGGGCGAAAGCCUGAUGGAGCGACGCCGCGUGAGGGAUGAAGGUCUUCGGAUCGUAAACCUCUGAAUCAGGGACGAAAGACGCGAAAGCGGGAUGACGGGACCUGAGUAAUAGCACCGGCUAACUCCGU